CCUGAGACUAGAGUCAUUCUGACAGAUCUUGUCCUGGUGUGCUAGUGUGCUCGGAGAGAAUCUGUGGGUCUUAAUUCAUUGGUGAGGGCAAUCAGUACCCCCAGGAGUGACCCAAUGGGAAACAUGC